rnacentral:misc_RNA from 1 species
GAAAUGCGAUAAGUAAUGUGAAUUGCAGAAUUCAGUGAAUCAUCGAAUCUUUGAACGCACAUUGCCCCCGCCAGUAUUCUGGCGGGCAUGCCUGUUCGAGCGUCAUUUCAACCAUCAAGCCCCGCGCUUGUGUUGGGGACCUGCGGCUGCCGCAGGCCCUGAAAACCAGUGGCGGGCUCGCUGUCACACCGGGCGUAGUAGAUUUUAUCUCGCUCAGGGCGUGCUGCGGGUUCCGGCCGUUAAAAAGCCUUUUUUACCCAAGGUUGACCUCGGAUCAGGUAGGAAGACCCGCUGAACUUAAGC